AUGACGAACACAAAGGAAAAGAGAAAAGGCAUCUGUAUAUGUUCUGUAUAACAUGGAGUUGUUUAGAAACGUGGAGUUGUUUGUUUGGCCACGUAUAUGUGAAUUUCUAAGAAAGACGAUAUUGUAGACAUAAGGGAAUGGGUACUGUUCAAAAAGGAAUGCCCCACUAAUGCUGCCAUGGCAAAACCGGAACACUCUAUAGUGCUACCCAGCAUGCUGUUGGCAUUGUUGUAUAAAAAACAAGUAAGGGCAAGAUUCUUGUGAAGAGAAUUAAUGUGCAUAUUAAGCACAUUAAGCACUCUAAGAAAUGAGAUACCUUCCUGAAAUGCAUGAAGGAAAAUGAUCAGAAAAAGAAGGAAGCCAAAGAGAAAGGUACCUGGGUUCAACCAAAGCACCAGCGUGUUCUACCUAGAGAAAUGCAUUCUGAAAGAACCAGUGGGAAGGAGCCUGAGCUGCUGGAACCUAUUCCUUAUGAAUUCAUGACAUAG
rnacentral:lncRNA from 1 species